rnacentral:rRNA from 1 species
AGUGAACGCUGGCGGUAGGCCUAACACAUGCAAGUCGAACGGCAGCACAGUAAGAGCUUGCUCUUACGGGUGGCGAGUGGCGGACGGGUGAGGAAUACAUCGGCAUCUACUUUUUCGUGGGGGAUAACGUAGGGAAACUUACGCUAAUACCGCAUACGAUCUACGGGUGAAAGCAGGGGAUCUUCGGACCUUGCGCGAUUGAAUGAGCCGAUGUCGGAUUAGCUAGUUGGCGGGGUAAAGGCCCACCAAGGCGACGAUCCGUAGCUGGUCUGAGAGGAUGAUCAGCCACACUGGAACUGAGACACGGUCCAGACUCCUACGGGAGGCAGCAGUGGGGAAUAUUGGACAAUGGGCGCAAGCCUGAUCCAGCCAUACCGCGUGAGUGAAGAAGGCCUUCGGGUUGUAAAGCCCUUUUGUUGGGAAAGAAAAGCAGCAGGUUAAUACCCCGCUGUUCUGACGGUACCCAAAGAAUAAGCACCGGCUAACUUCGUG